AGUUCGAUUCUGGCUCAGAUUGAACGCUGGCGGGAUGCUUUACACAUGCAAGUCGAACGGCAGCACGGACUUCGGUCUGGUGGUGAGUGGCGAACGGGUGAGUAAUGUAUCGGAACGUGCCUAGUAGCGGGGAUAACUACGCGAAAGGCAGCGACAAUGUGCAUACGCCCUUCGGGGGAAAGCGGGGACCUUCGGGCCUCGCACUAUUAGAGCGGCCGAUAUCGGAUUAGCUAGGGUUGGUAACGGCUCACCAAGGCGACGAUCCGUAGCUGGUUUGAGAGGGCGACCAGCCACACUGGACUGAGAUUACUUCGGCCCAGACUCCUACGGGAGGUGGGGAAUUUGACAAUGGGGGAAACCCUGAUCCAGCCACUCCGCGUGUGCGAUGAAGGCCUUCGGGCUGUAAAGCACUUUUGGCAGGAAAGAAACAGCACGGGAUAAUACCCCGUGCAACUGACGGUACCUGCAGAAUAAGCACCGGCUAACUACGUGCCAGCAGCCGCGGUAAUACGUAGGGUGCAAGCGCGUUAAUCGGAAUUACUGGGCGUAAGCGUGCGCAGGCGGUUCUGGAAAGAAAGAUGAAAUCCCAGAGCUUAACUCUUUGGAACUGCAUUUUUAACUACCGAGCUAGGAGCGGUGUCAGAGAGGGAGGUGGAAUUCCGCGUGUAGCAGUGGAAAUGCGUAGAUAUGCGGAGGAACACCGACGGCGAAGGCAGCCUCCCGGGGAUACUGACGCUCAUGCACGAAAGCGUGAGCAAACAGGAUUAGAUACCCUGGUAGUCCACGCCCUAAACGAUGUCAACUAGCCGUUGGGGCCUUCGGGCCUGGUAGCGCAGCUAACGCGUGAAGUUGACCGCCUGGGAGUACGGUCGCAAGAUUAAAACUCAAAGAAUUGAUGGGGACCCGCACAAGCGGUGGAUGAUGUGGAUUAAUUCGAUGCAACGCGAAAACCUUACCUACCCUUGACAUGCUGGAAUCCCGAAGAGAUUUGGGAGUGCUCGCAAGAGAACCGAACACAGGUGCUGCAUGGCUGUCGUCAGCUCGUAAUGAUGUUGGGUUAAGUCCUACAACGAGCGCAAACUCCUUGUCAUUAGUUGCUACGAAAGGGCACUCUAAUGAGACUGCCGGUGACAAACCGGAGGAAGGGAUGACGUCGUCUCAGCUUUUUGGCCCUUAUGGGGUAGGGCUUCACACGUCAUACAAUGGUCGGGACAGAGGGUCGCCAACCCGCGAGGGGGAGCCAAUCCCAGAAACCCGAUCGUAAAGUCCGGAUCGCAGUCUGCAACUCGACUGCGUGAAGUCGGAAUCGCUAGUAAUCGCGGAUCAGCAUGUCGCGAAGAAGACGCCCCGGGUCUUGUACACACCGCCCGUCACACCAUGGGAGUGGGUUUUACCAGAAGUAGUUAGCCUAACCGUAAGGAGGGCGAUUACCACGGUAGGAUCUAUGAUCAGCGAAGUCGUAACAAGGUAG
rnacentral:rRNA from 1 species